ensembl:lncRNA
UAGUGGUGCUGGGUGAGGCCAACUGAUGAAAGAUGGGGCUCCAACUGGAUUUCCUCAUUGGGGGAGGAUGUCCGGGACCAUCAGCUGCACGUGUUCAUCCGUCUGCAGCUCAUCGUUACCCAGGCCGCGGGACACGGGCCCCUGACCUGGCGCCUUAUCGCUCGGGAGGGAUCGAAUCGGGCCCCCGCGCAGGGGAGCGAGGAACGGGCUCAGAGGAAGGAAGCAAGUUGCCUAAAGACGCACAGCACGUAGGUGGCGGGGCAGUUGACGAGGAAAUCGGCCCCUUGACUCUGCUGAGCCCUGCACUCGGGUCUGAGCCUGGUGAGGAGGGGGCUGCCUCCCUCCCGCGCCGUUCUCCUCCCCAACCCUCCGCCGUCUUCCCCUCCUCAGGCGGCGUGGAGCACAUGGGCAGCUGGGAGGACUUCACCCACCGCCGACUCCACCGACGAGGAAACAGGCGCCAGGUGUGCCUGAAGACCGGCAUCCGCCAUAACCGAGACCUUAAGGGAGCCUCGACGGCGUUGCCAGAGGACCGACGGCGCCCCCCGCAGGGCCCUCCCCUCCGCCAAGAUGGCCCACGCUUGGCAGCGAGAGGUCCCAGGAUCGAUCACCGGAGAGGCUCUCUCGGACUGCGGUCGUCCAUCGCCACCUACCGGCGGAAGACAAAACUGCAACGCAGCUCUAAAAGACACUAGGAAUGGCGGCCCCAAAGGAGGACAGUGCCUGGGGGCGAGGCGGGGGCUGGAGCGGGCGGAGAGGAGAGGAUUUGCAAAAUUCUGUAAAAAUUAAAAACUUUUCUACGCCUAACCAAUAUAUAAACAUCAUACUCAGCAAGUUCUUGGUAUGCCACAGCUCCAACUGCAUGCGUGUUUUCGUCAUGGGUGGCUGGGUUCUCUCCUGCGUGGCAAGCUUCUUGGUAUGCCAGCUUAGAGCUCCAACUGCAUGCGUGUUUUCGUCAUGGGUGGCUGGGUACUCUCCUGCGUGGUCAUGGAGACGCACGUGUCAGUGCUUUGGGAAACGCAGGGGAGUGGGAUUCAGUUUACACAAUGUGCUGGGAAGCCUAUUUCUAGGAAUUGAGCCAACUGAGUUUCAUUCCUCUACCAUGACCUCGCUGAACGCAAGGCGGGUGCAAGCAAAAGUGAACGGCUGACAGCCAGCCAAACAUCGGUCCCUGGUCCUCACCUGGGGUCUCUCUGACUGGCUAAAGAAAGAAGCCUCUAGAGUUGUUUCCAGAAGCCACCUGAUUCAAUGCACAACUUGGGGUGGCAAACAUUCUUUAAAAAUAUUAAAAUCAACCUUAUAUGAAUAUAUUUUAAAAGAAUACUUGCCAAAGAACUAUCUUGUGUGUGUUCUCAGUCAUGUCCAAUUGUUUGCAACUCCAUGGAGCCUGCUGGGCUCCUCUGUCCAUGGGAUUUCCCAGGCAAGAAUACUGGAGUGGGUUGCCAUUUCCUUCUCCAAGGGAUCUUCCUGACCCAGGGAUCAAACCCAUGUCUCUUUCAUCUCCUGCACUGGCAGGCAGGCUCUUUAUGGCUGAGCCAGCUGUUCUCAAUAAGCCAGAC